AGGAAGGCCCACGCCGCUGGUGACGCCCUGGACUCGCGCGCAGGAAGCCCCGCUGUUAUGCCGCAGUGAAGCCUCGGGCGGGCGACGGGCGCGAGCGAGGGCGGGAGUGAGCGGCGGCGGCGGCGGCGGAGGCGGCGGCGGCGGAGGCGGCGGCGGAGGCGGACAGGUGUCAUGGUGGUCGGGGAGGUCAUGAGCAGAGUGACGCAGCUAUAGUCCAGGGUUGAAGAUGUCGUGGCUGGGCGGGGACGACCCCGGGGGUGGGUACGGGGACGACUACCCGUGGUGGGCGCCCGAGGACGGCCACGGCGCCCGCGAUAACCGGACGUGGGAGGAGCGCUGCUACACACUCGACUACGACUACCACGUGGUCACGGCGGUCAUCUGCGCCAUGUUCCUCGUCUUCGGCGUCGUCUACAGCCUCUUCGGUUACCGUUGCUUCAAGGCAGUGAUGUUUCUAACAGGCUUCAUCUUUGCUUCGGUGGUGGUGUACCUGAUAUGCCUGAGUGAAGACCUGCUACCCCUGAUUGGCAACGCAGGCGUGUCUCUUGGGGCAGGCGUCAUGUUUGGCCUCAUCACGAUGCUGGUUCAGUAUGUGGGCCUCUUCAUGACUGGUCUCCACACUGGUCUCUUCCUUGGUGUGGCAGGCAUCGCUAUAGCCUACAAGUGGUGGGUCCCAAGCAGUGUGUGGCCAGUGGUUGGAAUCCUCCUUGCUGCAGGACUGUUGCUGGCCAUCACAACCCUGUACUUCCAGAAGGGACUGACCAUCCUGGGCACAGCCAUCAGUGGAGGAGCCAUCAUGUCUGCCACACUAGACUACUUUAUUGAGAAGUUCCUGAUGGUGCGUUGGUUUGAGGACCGACUGAAGGUGGUGGAGAGCGAGCCUCCAUGCUGGUUCUCCUGGAUGAUCCUGGGUGUGUGGCCCUUCAUGGUGCUUGUGGGGAGCCUCACCCAGUGGAAGAUUACAGGCAGAGGCAUCUAUCAUCAGCAGUUGGUGCCCUCCAAAAAAUCUCGAAGUGUGAACCUCCAGCGAAUGAGGAGUCGAGAGGCCCGGGCUGAGAUGCGCCAGAAGAAAUACCGGUAUUUGUAUCAAGUUCGUACUGCUCACGGGGACAUCAUCAGCCAGGUGAAUAUGCCAGUGUCCGAUCUCAGAUAUACCACUGUUAGCGAGGCUUAGCAGUGUCUGUCUGGCGGAUACGUGGUGGUGGGACUAACUGGUGGUUGUGUCGUCUAAUGCAAGUGUCCAGGAAUACAUUCAGAGUCUCCAGCGGAAGGCUUACCCUACAGGGGACAAUGGAACCCUCCAAUCAGACUCAACGCACACCACCAUGUUACCCCCAGAGCACACUCAGCUAGCACCCCUCACCGAGAGCGAGGAUGAAACAGGGGGUUCCCAGCCACCUCCCACUCCACCUGAACCCCCAAGAAUGACCCGCGUCACAAUGCACUAGCACAGCGAGUGACCAAAAAAGACAUGGGAAUUUUGGGAUUUUUUCCAGUCAACAUAGAGAACAAGGACAGCAAGACAGAGGUCAUGCACCAAUGACUCCAAGAGAUAUAUAUAUAUUGCUCCAUAAAGAACCAAGAUGGGAGUGCUUUCUAUAUACGUUACAACUAGUUCCCUUAUAAAAGAAAAAAAAGAAAAGAAAACAGACUGAGAAACAAUGGUAUAGUUCUAAACUAUCAUUGUGAUAAUACAGUAUAUAGAAAGUGUGAUUGUGUGAGUGUAUGGAUGUAUGUGUAUACUCCAGAGUUACCAGACUAGUGUUGUAUUCACCUGCCUGCAAGAGCAGAGCUUUGCUGUAGUUUGCAAGCAUCAUAAGUGUACCCCCUUUGUUAUGUGACUUGACUAUAGCUUUGAGUCUUUCAAUGCAGACAUUUUACUGGAGGGUAUGCAAGUUAGAAAAAGAAAAUCCCAUCAUUUUUAUGUUCUGGGAUAGUUUUGACACUUUUUUUUCAAGCUCAGUGAAAUGAAUAUCAUUUUGCUUUUGAACUCCAGUGAAGACAAAGAUUAAUUUCAAGGAGUUAUAGAUACAAACAACCCUUUAUAAUGAUGACAGAGCUCACCAAAGCUCAAAAAACAUGAGAGGCAAUGAUGACCAGUGAGCAACUGAUACAUUUUUUCCCAUUUUUUUCCUUUUUAUUUUUACAUAAGGAUAUGUGAAAAAGACAAUUGGGGGGGGGGGGUAAACCAUCAGACUCUCACACUGUGGUUGCCAUUUCUGCUGCUAAGUGAUGUGAUGAUGUGGCAGUAAUAUUACAUUCUGUGUGAUGAAAAUAGUCAACCAGUGAGAGGAGGAGGAAGAGAGAGAGAAUUAAAAUUGCCAAUCAUUCCAGAGGAAAGAAUAAGAAAGAGAGAAUAAUUGUGCAUUAUCUCUCAAGAAAACAUGUAUUUCUUUCCAAUACUUUUGUAUUUUGUUUCUUUUUUUUUUUUAUUAUCAUCCAGUGGAAAGAAAUGGCUCAAGCAUUAGCUAGAAAUGACUCCCAAACAAAAAGCUCAAUGGCAAAGAGUGGACGAAUAAGCACAGCACAAGUCUGCCGCAUGUCUUUCUGUAAGAUUGUAGUCUUUUAUAGGAAUGUUGUUAUAUUAUUUGGCUACCCUUUUUAUAAACGGCAUUAUCCAAGGCUUUAAACAUUUGUCUGCAGUAAUGUUUCUCUCUUUUUUUUGUAUUAUGUAUCUAAAUACUGACAAUAGCUGUAUCUCAGUAACUAGUAUUGAUAUUUUACUCUUUCUGUUGAUGUUUUAUCAGUGACAUGAUUUGAUUUUUGCCAUCUUAUUUAUAUUGAUAACACAUUUAUGUUGGAAGUCUUUCAUAAGUGUUUCAUAAGCAGUAUAUAUAUUUUAUCUGACUUUUUUCCUGUGGUUAUAUCUCUUGUCUUUCUACAUAUUCCUCUUUUUAUUGAGCAGUGGCUCCAAAAAUGAUAGUUUGUGAUUUCUUGUUUUGUGAAUUCCAAUCUGCUCAGAUUCUUCUCAUUAUUAUUUGCAACAAUUUGCAUCACUGUCAGUGUAGGGAUACUUCUAAUUUUUCCCCUCAAACACAUUGCCAGAAUAUUCUCCAAUUUUGGACAACAGCAAGAACAGACCAUUUUCUAAUAAUGAAUAUUGUAGAGUUUCAGUGGAUGAUUCUGUUCCAUGAAAUGCUGUAGCUAUUCUGUGACAAGGGCCUUCAAUAUGAGAAUAUUUGUCCAAGUAGUGUAAUGCUGUACAAAAAGGUCUUAUUUUUUCCACACAAGAUUUUACUAAAAGCUGCAAAUGGUUUAGCAUGGUCAAAGAUUUUAGCAUAGUUUUUUCUCCUAUUAAAAGUAUAGGGGUUGAUAAGCCAGUACUAUAAGUUUUUGACCAUUUAGACAAAGAUUAGAUGACAUUUGCAUUUUUUCUUACAAGCAAGGUUUGUUUAUAUGAUUACAUCUCCACUAAAGUUAUCCGAAGCUGGUGUGUCCACCUUCAGAACUCAUAAAAAAAGAUUAAGAACUUGCUGCUGUAUUUCACUGAACAUCCCAUUACGUGUUAAAAAGAAAACAACAACAAAAAACAGCAAGAACAACAGUAACAGAAUCCCAUAUGAAUGCAAUUAUAUAUUUGGAAAUAUUGGAGUAUGUGAUCAAAAAAGAAAAGAAAAGAAAAGAGAGAGGCAUAUGAGAAAUAUUGCUUGUUUCUGUGGGAUAUUUUUACUUCUUUUUGUCAAGGUAUUUUCCUAAUAUUUCCGUGCUUCUUGAAACCAACUGCAUCGCAUUUUUUAUUGCGAUAUGCCGAUGAUCUGUCUUGGCCAAAUAUGUCUUUAUUGUUUUCCAUUUGUAUUUUCUUUUUAUACAUACACAUAGUUGUAAAAUAAACAUGGUUGCAUGUUUUGCUUUCUUAAUUUAUAGAGUAGGAGAUAUUAUGUGAUAGUAAAUAUACUCCUUGUGUGUUCAGUUAUUUUAUGUCAUUGCUUUAAAUGAGAGCUAAUGAAAUAUGUAUUCCCAAUACCACAAAGAAUGUGAAAAAGGUUUAUUAAGACAUUUUCCUUUUUUCUUUCUCUUUUUUUUUUACAAUAAUUCUUUUGUUCAUUAUUUCUACUUCCCAUAACUUAAAUGUGAUUGUUUCUAAAUGGAUCUUGGAAAUUCUACAUAGGUUACAGAUGUUAUCCUCACCAGAUCUUAUUCUAGUGCAUUCAUUUAGUAUACUAUCUUUACAGAUGUUUUAGAAAUAGAAAUUGGUCAAAAUUGAUCUCCCUUCCUCUUUUAACACCCAACCCUUUAUAGCAUUUCCCACCAAAGACGUUAUUAUUUUGUAAUGCUUUUUUGUCUGUUAUGAUUAUUCAUUCAUUUCACUUGCAUUUUAUACUUUUCUAUGUAUGAGAAACAUUUCAGUUUCAUUGAUGUUAGUUUUGAUAGAUUGGUUGUUCAGUUUUGAUCUAAAGGUAUUUUCUUGUCAAAGUUUCUGUUAUAACUGGUAAAUGCAAGUAAAUUUCUGUUAAAAGGCAAUUUUGAUUUAAUCUUGGGCUUUGAUGGAAGUAAUCAUUUGCAUUCAGAUUUUAACAGAAAUUAGUCAUAUGUACCGGUAUAUUUAAAGUGUAGUCUUAAUGAUAACAUAGUCAGAAUAACCUUGUUUUUCUGUUUAGUAUUUACAUCACUGCCAUAAUUUGAGCGAAAGGCACUUUUGGUGCAUUGCAGUAUUUAAGAUGCAUCAGUUUUAUUCAGUGACUAUCACUUGCAGAACCAAAGCUCAGCAUUUUCUUAAUUCUCUUUAUUUUUCCUUCUCUUUAUGUGUGUAUUAUACAUGUAAUGAUUCAUAUGGCCAAGUCAUGGGGUAAAAAUGCAAAAGUUUUAUUUUUUUUUUCUCUCUUUUUUCAUACAGAUCAAUUGGUGCUUUGUGUUUUGAUUAUGGUAAAGCUCCAGUGAUUUUUACUCAUUGUAAAACACACUAUAAUAAGAACAUAACCAUGAGAGCAUUUUCUCACAUACUCAGCAAGAUAUAUGUCUUAGCAGUACUCAUUCAUACUCUCCUGUAAGUUUAAAUCAGCUCGGAGAGUCUCAUCUUCAUGGAGACGCUGGAGCCAUGGAGAGAGGUUAAGGAUACAACUGAGAGAACAGUCAAAUGUCAUCAAGUCAUAGCUCAUUAGUACUAAAUAGAUUCUACGUAAUCAGUUGUUGUUUACCUCAUAUCAAUGAUAUCAGUAUGGUUGUAGUAAUGUAUAAAUGUAGAAAAGUUAAUGGACAUUUUUGUUAACUGUAUAAAGUUUCAAUAUUUGAUGCAUAGAUUUGGAUUGAACCCAGAUGGAUUAAGUUGGAGACUUACCCUUUGGACAGGUAUUAUUCAGCUGUUGUAAAUUAGACAUUGAGGCUUCUCAAGAAUUUUCCUUUAUCUGAUCUUUAUCACUUUCUCUCCAAAUUGAGGAAGGACAUAUUUCCAUUUUAUACUAAUGUAUUACUAAAAGAAUAGAUUUGUUCAUGCUCAUCAAUAUUACACUUUUUUGAUAAUUUAAUAAACAUGUGAAUUGUGCUUUAAACAGUUCCACUGUAGGAUAAAGUAAUGUGCACAUUGAUCCACUUUCAUUAUAUGAAUCAGAAGCCAUAUCUUCAUAAUACAUUUUUUCAGUGGACUAUAAAUGAUAAAACAGUACAUAGUUGAUUGCAAUGAAUAUACUGGUGAAAAGUUGGAAUUCAGUCCUGUACCUGUCAAAUGGCUAACCUAAUCUCUGGUGAUGAACAAUGACGUCCUGUGCCUGCCAUUAGUUCUCAGAUCAGAAGUGGUUAUCGAAGUGCAGGAAGUAUUUCCAUUGCCAGUCAUUUUCAUGACUAUAUCAAGUCCAUCUCAGUAUGGUAGAACUUUGUGUUAUUUUGUAAAUUAAGUGUGGGAGAUUGCUUGGCCCAUAGUUAUAACAGGAUCCAGUUGCUAUUUUCCCUUUGUAUGCUUUUGUGGUGAUAUGACUGGAUUGAAUAUAUCACAACAACACACAGUCUUGAACAGCCAUUGUGAAUGGGUUAUAUACAUGAGGCUUUCAAGUAAAUCUGAUGUCUGGUUAUAGCUUCAUCAAGGAUGGUUCUCUCCAAAGAUGAAUAAUGAUACAUCCAAUGCCCCACAGCCUCUGGAGAAGGGAAGUGAUGCAAUGAAUGUCUGUAAUGUCUGGUGAGAGUAAAGUGCAUCAGUACGCUUAUGUUGUGUUGCUGGAAUCUUAUAGAGAGAUAAGCACAAGAUGUGAUGAAAGUAGUUAUGUAAAUACUGCACCAGAACCUACAAACAUGGAUUGUGUUGAAGUCUUCUUGAAUGAAUCGCUCCUUCUCACUGUAAAUAUUGGCCAUUACUCAGACUGUACUCGUAAUAUCACUAAGUAUGAAUGUAAAGUUUAUAUAAGGGAACACAGUUUUGUAUAACUUGAAAAGUCAGUGUAUGUACAUUGUGUAAUCAUUUCUUACAAGCUGAUACGUGCAAUUCUUCAGAGGCAGGUAUUUGUACUGUAUUGCAUCAUGUGCUCUUUCAAUAAUAACAAUGUUUUAAU